rnacentral:rRNA from 1 species
AGAGUUUGAUCCUGGCUCAGAGUGAACGCUGGCGGCGUGCUUAACACAUGCAAGUCGAGCGGACUUUGGCAGCACAUCGCCAGAGUUAGCGGCAGACGGGUGAGUAACACUUGGGCAAUCUGCCCUUGAGAGGGAGACAACCUGCCGAAAGGCGGGCUAAUAUCCCGUAAGACCACGGGGUCGCAUGAUCCAGAGGUCAA